GGAUUCCGUAGGUGAACCUGCGGAAGGAUCAUUA
rnacentral:rRNA from 1 species